AUGCCCCGAGGCUCUUUGAUGGCUAAUAAACCACUAACUUGGCUAGAGAUACAACACAAUAUGAAGGGAGCUUUCAGCAUUGCUGCAAAGACUAAAGUACCAGUGGUACCAAUUACCCUUAUUGGAACUGGCCAAAUCAUGCCAGCAGGAAGGGAGGGUAUAGUUAACACAGGUUUCGUGAAAGUUGUUAUACAUAAACCUAUUGAUGGAAAUGAUGCUGACAUGUUAUGCAAGGAAGCUAGAAAUAAAAUCGCAAGUGUGCUGACUCAAGCCUGA